GACGAACGCUGGCGGCGUGCUUAACACAUGCAAGUCGAACGGAAAGACCCUGCUUUUGUGGGGUGCUCGAGUGGCGAACGGGUGAGUAACACGUGAGUAACCUGCCCUUGACUUUGGGAUAACUUCAGGAAACUGGGGCUAAUACCGGAUAGGAGCUCCUGCUGCAUGGUGGGGGUUGGAAAGUUUCGGCGGUUGGGGAUGGACUCGCGGCUUAUCAGCUUGUUGGUGGGGUAGUGGCUUACCAAGGCUUUGACGGGUAGCCGGCCUGAGAGGGUGACCGGCAACAUUGGGACUGAGAUACGGCCCAGACUCCUACGGGAGGAAGCAGUGGGGAAUAUUGCACAAUGGGCGGAAGCCUGAUGCAGCAACGCCGCGUGCGGGAUGACGGCCUUCGGGUUGUAAACCGCUUUCGCCUGGGACGAAGCGUGAGUGACGGUAAUGGGUAAAGAAGCACCGGCUAACUACG
rnacentral:rRNA from 1 species